GGCGGCGUGCAGGGAGGAAGGUUGGCUUUAAUGUCUUGCUGCCUCUAAUCUGCCUUUAAGUAGUCUCCGCUUGCGUCACUGACAGAUACCCUUGCAGGCUGUACCUGAGACAUCACCAAACAUUUCCACACAAAAUGUUGGUACCAAUUGGAAUUGACUUCUCCAGUGAAGCUGUGUAAAAUAUAUCCUCGUAUUCUGUAUUUGUACAAAAUAAUCAGGUAAACCUUCACACCUGCUCAACUAAUCUCAUUAAAGAACAACAUAAGAAAAUUUCUUAUCAGUGAUGUUAAGAGUUUUCUGAAUAAAUGGGACCAGGCUUCAUCUGUGCAAGAAGGCAUCUGUAUGCUUUAGACACCCCAAGGAGUUGCAUCUCAUUUUCAAAUACCUGAUAUCUCUUUUAUUGGUAGUAACCUCAUAUACCAACCUGCAACCACAUUCACAUGCAAGAUACUUGGCCUUCCUCUUGAGAAAGUUUACAGAACUUCAGACUUUGGUGAGCUUGAAAAAAAAAUUUCAGUAAGUCUCUUUCACAAGGCCAACAUUCAUUUUAGUGGCUAAAAAAUUCAAAGAAAGUUGCUAUAUUGCAAAUUUAUGUGUAUGAUUUCUGAGGCUAUGAAUUUCUCUCCUUUAUCUUAGGCCUGACUUGCUGUCAAAACAGAAUAAGAAUCAACAUAAUGUCCUCUGUAUGCUUUACACAAAGGUGAAAAGUGUAUGAAGAAUGCAAUUAACUGCAUUUCCAUUAUCCUUUUUGUGAGUAACAGCAACCCACAGACUUAGCUGACAAAUUGUCUAAAUCAAAAAGUGCUCAGACUAUGUAUAGUCAUGACUGUAAGUUGUAGACAUAAGAAGAUUUUCAGCUUCUAAAGGUUCAUCUUAUUUUUUCCACCAUUCCCCUGAAUGCUUCAGCCAAUGGCAAAGCCAGGAUUUGCAGAGCAGCAGGCUGACAAAGAUGCUGUGGAUGUAUAUUUCACAGUGUACAUAUUCAGAUUAGAAAUCCGUGCCUACAUUUCAUUCAAAAGCAUUCAGGAUUUUCAAAACUUUAUAUCUCCUGGCUUACAAAGAACUGUUUCCUAAUGAAGCAGCAGUAACAGUUUGCAACAGGGCUAAGUUUGUCUUAUUCAAUAUUUUUUUCUGUUGCAUAGGAAGGAAACAAAAUCAGCUUGCUAUUCCACACAUAGGCUUUUGGGUGGAAGGGUGUAUUUUUUUUCCCUCUUGCUUUGCAUUCAGAGAGAAUAAGCAUUCCUGUUCCACUCAAAUUCAGUAUAAACUCUGUCAUUCCUAACAGGAUCUCAAAUAAGCUUUGAAACAAGAAAGUUGUCUGCACGUGUUCAAAGAUGCCAGUGCCAUGAUAUUAAUUUCUGAUGAAAAAAUAUAGACUGAGUUGAUCUUGGAUUAGGUCUGAAGAAUGAGACUGUGUGUGUCCUCAGUUUGAAGCCAAACUGAGGUUAAUCUGUCUGUAAGAAGCUGUAGGCCAGAUUCUCUCUAAGAAAUCCAGCCCUUUUGCCCUGAUCUGGUUUAGUAAAGGGUCUGGAGAGCAAUCAAAUCUUGCAGGAUGCACAUUCCUCAAGGAUGGAGCAGAGCAGAGCAGACUGAGAGCAGAACUGACACAUUUGGCUUGUCUGUCAGACCCCCUGCAACCUGGAGGUGGAUGACAUGACAGGGUCAAGAUGAGGUAGCCACAUGGCCAGUGCUGUCACAUAGUGGGUAAACAGCAUUAUUCCCCUGCUUCAUUGCUUUCUCUGCUGAGGUUUACCAACAUGAAAAC